ACAUAAUAAUGUAGAUAACCUAAUAAUGAUCCUUAUUGUUGUUUUAGAGGAGCGGUGCUUCAAAGGAUAGUUGCAGAGUUCUGUCAGAAUCUGCAGAUUAUACAGUAAAAAUAAAAUGUUCACAUUUGUCCAACGUGGUCUUCCGAACAGUUUCACUGCAUGGCCAGGAAGUGUUCACAAUGUCUUCUCCGGCGCUGAUAAUUGGCGUCUGUCUUGUGUCAGUGACAUAAAAGACAGAUUUAAUGCGACCUGACCGUUCACACAGCAGUCGCUUUCUAAAACAUCAGAUAUGUAUCGGAUUCAGUACCACAUACGAGAGUGACCCAGGUCGGAUUAGAAAAUAUCGGAUUUGUGCCGUUCACACUGUCAUACCAUGAUCGGAUAUGGGUCGCAUAGGGUCAAAAACAUCGGAUUUGAUGCGCUUUCGCCUGCAGUGUGAACGUAGCCUAAGAAAGAUUAAACAGCCAAAUAGCACUGCUUACACCUGGCAUUCAUGCAGCUCCAAAUUCACAGAGAGAGAGAGGCUUUCACCUGUGCUUAUAAAGGGGAAAUAACCCAGCCCUACCAACCAGGGGUGGUUCCCAGACUCAGGCGUCACCUCUCACCUUUGCUGUCUUCACACCUUAAUGGGUGUGAAGACAAUGGCAACAGCAUGUCUUGUUGCACCGAAUGCCUUCUGUUUGUAUAAUUUUGGACAAUUCAAGUCAGUAAAGGAAUUGGGAUAAAUUUAACUAGAACACUAUCACUAUUGAGUAUGACAAGAAGUUGUUCCACCAUCCAGGGGCAUAGGGCUCGUGAAACUGAAUUGAAAAUGAGUCCCCACCACUCAUCCACUCUAACAAUCAGUAAAUGAGUGCCUCUGGGUUGUUUUUCGAGCCCCUUCCCUUUGUAUAGUCAUGACUUUACACCAGGGGUAGGGAACUCCAGGCCUCGAGAGUUGGUGUCCUGCAGGUUUUAGAUGUGUCCUUGAUCCAACACAGCUGAUUUAAAUGGCUAAAUUAUCUCCUCAACAAGUCUUGAAGUUCUCCAGAGGCCUGGUAAUGAACUAAUCAUGUGAUUCAGGUGUGGUGACCCAGGGUGAGAUCUAAAACCUCCAGGACACUGGCUCUCGAGGACUAACGUUCCCUACCCCUGCUUUACACCAACCUGCAAUAUCAACACCAUAGUUACAUUUGUAGAUUAUAUGACCAAGAGGAGGUACUGAGGCUCACAGUUUUGCACUGUAUUUUUAUAUGGUGUAAAUGUUAGUUUUAGAAUAAUGUUUUACAAAAAGAAGAGAGGGCUUGGGGGUGGACCACCCACCCACACACACAGACAGAGGAAGAGGGCGGGCUUUCUUUCAUGUCUCUAGGAAAUGAUGACAAAGUCACAUCACUGAGUGAUUGAGCACAAUGAAGAAAUCAUCUCUGCAAAUUUGGCACUUUCUGAUCUCACUACUGUGCUGCACUGCAAACCAAGCUCGUCUGACUGUGAGUCCCAGCAGCUUUCAAUUCUUCAAAGGAGACUUUGUGUCUCUGAGCUGUGAGGAGGACGACAGCUCUGCUGGAUGGACUCUGAGGAGAAACACAAGCAAACAACAGAGGACUCAGUGUGGGGCUGACUGGGGGAAAAAUGAUCGUUCUUCCUGUAAUAUCACCAGGGUUCUUGAGUGGGACAGUGGAGUUUACUGGUGUGAGUCCAGAGAGGGCCCCAUCAGUAACAUGGUUAACCUGACAGUCACUGGGUGUGAUCCAGCUACAGUGUACUCAGAAGUGAGAGCAGACAACAUCAAUUGUGGACAAACAGACAUCAGACCAAACAGGUCCAGAGAGUGUGAUCCAGCUACAAUCUACUCAUCAGUGAGAGCAGACAACAUCAAUUGUGGACAAACAGACAUCAGACCAAACAGGCCCAGAGAGUGCGAUCCAGCUACAAUCUACUCAUCAGUGAGAAGAGACAAGAUCACUCAUGGACAAAGAGACAUCAGACCAAACAGGCGCAGAGAGUUUCCAUCUGACCAAAAUGGCUACUUCUCAUGAAGUAAUCCACCAGUCCAACCACUGGAAUCCAGCUGCUGGUUCACACAGGCGCUCAGACCAGAGGGCAUUCAUUAUAAAACAGAUUUAUAUAUAUUAUGUUUGAUCUUUUCAUUAAACAUACUCAUAUAACACGAAUUAUAAUUAAUAUGUGAAUGUAAUGUGAUGCAGCAUAUGGAGGACACUCAGUAACUCAGUGCCGUCCUCCCCACAGCAGUGAUCUCUGCAGGAAACUUCGGUCUCACUUGUUCUUCUUCUGCGGUUCUGUGGGUUUCACAAAUAUCACUGAAGGAAAAUGUGAGUCAUGACUAAUUAACAUGCAUGUCAUCGGCGCAAAUCUAAAUAAAACUAUAAUAGAUCACACACAACUUGACCUACAUAUACAGUGCCUUGAAAAAGUAUUCAUACCCCUUGAACACAUUUUGUCGCCUUACAAAAACAAACUUAAAUGUUUUUAUUGAGAUUUUCUGUGAUAGACCAACACAAAAUAGCACAUAAUUGUAAAGUGGUAUGAUAUGUGGUUUAUAAAUUUUAAGCAAAUAAAUAUCUGGGAAGAACUGUAAAUCAAUGAGUCUAUAAUAAUAAACCUUUUCAGCAGUU